UACGUAGGGUGCAAGCGUUAAUCGGAAUUACUGGGCGUAAAGCGUGCGCAGGCGGUUUUGCAAGUCAGAUGUGAAAUCCCCGGGCUUAACCUGGGAACUGCAUUUGAAACUACGAGGCUAGAGUGUGUCAGAGGGGGGUAGAAUUCCACGUGUAGCAGUGAAAUGCGUAGAGAUGUGGAGGAAUACCGAUGGCGAAGGCAGCCCCCUGGGAUAACACUGACGCUCAUGCACGAAAGCGUGGGGAGCAAACAGG
rnacentral:rRNA from 1 species